rnacentral:rRNA from 1 species
GACGAACGCUGGCGGCGUGCUUAACACAUGCAAGUCGAACGGAAAGGCCCUGCUUUUGUGGGGUGCUCGAGUGGCGAACGGGUGAGUAACACGUGAGCAACCUGCCCUUGACUUUGGGAUAACUUCAGGAAACUGGGGCUAAUACCGGAUAGGAGCUCCUGCUGCAUGGUGGGGGUUGGAAAGUUUCGGCGGUUGGGGAUGGACUCGCGGCUUAUCAGCUUGUUGGUGGGGUAGUGGCUUACCAAGGCUUUGACGGGUAGCCGGCCUGAGAGGGUGACCGGCCACAUUGGGACUGAGAUACGGCCCAGACUCCUACGGGAGGCAGCAGUGGGGAAUAGUGCACAAUGGGCGGAAGCCUGAUGCAGCAACGCCGCGUGCGGGAUGACGGCCUUCGGGUUGUAAACCGCUUUCGCCUGUGACGAAGCGUGAGUGACGGUAAUGGGUAAAGAAGCACCGGCUAACUACGUG